rnacentral:rRNA from 1 species
GUUUGAUGUUCUAACGUGGACCCGUGAUCCGGGUUGCGGACAGUGUCUGGUGGGUAGUUUGACUGGGGCGGUCUCCUCCUAAAGAGUAACGGAGGAGCACGAAGGUUGGCUAAUCCUGGUCGGACAUCAGGAGGUUAGUGCAAUGGCAUAAGCCAGCUUGACUGCGAGCGUGACGGCGCGAGCAGGUGCGAAAGCAGGUCAUAGUGAUCCGGUGGUUCUGAAUGGAAGGGCCAUCGCUCAACGGAUAAAAGGUACUCCGGGGAUAACAGGCUGAUACCGCCCAAGAGUUCAUAUCGACGGCGGUGUUUGGCACCUCGAUGUCGGCUCAUCACAUCCUGGGGCUGAAGUAGGUCCCAAGGGUAUGGCUGUUCGCCAUUUAAAGUGGUACGCGAGCUGGGUUUAGAACGUCGUGAGACAGUUCGGUCCCUAUCUGCCGUGGGCGCUGGAGAACUGAGGGGGGCUGCUCCUAGUACGAGAGGACCGGAGUGGACGCAUCACUGGUGUUCGGGUUGUCAUGCCAAUGGCACUGCCCGGUAGCUAAAUGCGGAAGAGAUAAGUGCUGAAAGCAUCUAAGCACGAAACUUGCCCCGAGAUGAGUUCUCCCUGACCCUUUAAGGGUCCUGAAGGAACGUUGAAGACGACGACGUUGAUAGGCCGGGUGUGUAAGCGCAGCGAUGCGUUGAGCUAACCGGUACUAAUGAACCGUGAGGCUUAACCUUACAACGCCGAAG